GGGGCUGAUUUUGGAUUCGACGGGAUUUGCGAAACCCAAGGUGCAUGCCGAGGGGCGGUUGGCCUCGUAAAAAGCCGCAAAAAAUAGUCGCAAACGACGAAAACUACGCUUUAGCAGCUUAAUAACCUGCUUAGAGCCCUCUCUCCCUAGCCUCCGCUCUUAGGACGGGGAUCAAGAGAGGUCAAACCCAAAAGAGAUCGCGUGGAAGCCCUGCCUGGGGUUGAAGCGUUAAAACUUAAUCAGGCUAGUUUGUUAGUGGCGUGUCCGUCCGCAGCUGGCAAGCGAAUGUAAAGACUGACUAAGCAUGUAGUACCGAGGAUGUAGGAAUUUCGGACGCGGGUUCAACUCCCGCCAGCUCCACCA
rnacentral:tmRNA from 1 species